CGCCAUGGCCUCCUGCUGCUCCCGGCGAACUUCGCCUUUGGGCUCCUGUUAUCCCAGCGAGCUUCCGUAGCAUGCGCGUUCCCAUGGCAACGGGUUGUGUCGCCUAUUUACAAGGAGCAACAACAACAACAGUAGUUGUACUCAACAGACCUGCACGAGUCAAAGUACAAAUGAUUCAUAGAACCUCGCGCCUCCGUCCUGGGCCAGGUUCCCUCCAGCACCACUGGAUGGCUCUAGUCGACAGAGAUCAGAACAGCUUCAUGCACAUCUGGCCGCUCCAGCUGUGACAGAUGUGCUUCCUUCCUGAAAAUCAAAGGCUUUACUUCUCCUCUUUUCCAACCCGCCACUGACGCACUCGCAUCCCUCUGUGGGGAACUGGAGGGUGGAGGUGGGAGGGCCAGCAGCUAAGAUUGAGCAAUUAUUCCAUUUUUGAAGCUUGUGGUUUGUGUUGUUUGGAAAAAAACGAGGAUAGUUCCUGUUUUUUGUUCUGCAUGAGGACAAACCACACUACAUGUUUUACGUUUUAAUAAUGCAAAAGUCUGCUUUUCCUCCUGUUGUUUAACGUGACGUUUCACCGACGCCAACACCACAACGUCGUUUUCACCACGUCAAGUGCAGGUGAAAAGUUCCUCCAUAGAAAAAUAAUGAAAAAUAUCUGCAUGUUUAUAGACUGUGCACUCUCAAAGAGGAACAACAGUUUGAAAGCGUCAGCUCAUUUAGGCAACAGGUUAACGUAUUUACAGGCGCCAUUUCUAAGAUAUAAAAUCAAAGGCAAAGGUGAAAAAGCUCUUGUGAAAAAUAAAAAUUUACAAUUGUUUAAUUUAGCAUUUAAAAUUGUUUCAGCUGAAGGCCCAUUGGUUGUGUAACUGGUGUUACAGCUUCCCCUUCGUAUCAUUGUCAGUAGGUUCGAGUUAAAGACGUGCGUGUCAGCGCUCUGUUCCUUUAACGGCGGAAUGCCAGCGAUGUGCGGCUGUGCCCAGGCAUUCUGAUCAGGAAUGUGUAGGAAUGCGUUGGCAGCCGUCGAUUCCCCUGCAGCUUUCCCAGGUGUUACUGGGAAACAAAAACAAGUGGAUGACGGAGCAGAAGGCCGAGCUGAACAGCAGAGAGGGCGUGAAAUGUCCCAGACGGGAGUGUGAUCAGGAAGCACCUCUCUAGACAUGAGGUCACCCUCUGGAUGCAGACUGGGACACGUCGGCCAGAUUUAUGGCCAUCUCUGCCUUAUCAGCUGUCUCCUACCUCGCCCUCCAACCGCAGAUUGAUGGCUGUAAAAAAGGGCAGGUAGACAUAAUAGUCGCGCCUCUGGAAGCUGCCAGGGAGUGUUUGCUCUGAAGACAAGCUCUGUCUGUGUGAAAUCUGAUGGCUAAAGUCCACACACAGUCUGAAAGGAUGCAGGUGAGAAAUGUGUUCCCAGGUCAAAACGGUGAAGUACAGCAUGUGGUAACACGCAAUGGUUCAGGCUGUUUUUAGCUGCUAUUAUUACAGCACUGAGGCCUUACAUGACCCUGAACACAAGCACACAAGCUAAACCUGAGCCUAAGUUGUUGUUAGUGUUACCAUAAAGCUAUCUAGGCUGUUGUUGUUAGCCUACAGCUAACCAUGCUGUUGUUAGUUAGUCUAAAGCUAACCAGGCUGAUGUUGUUAGCUUAAAGCUAACCACACUGUUGUCAUUAGUGUUAGCCUAAAGCUAACCACGCUGUUGUUGUUAGCCUACAGCUAACUAGGCCCCCGUUUUUAGCCUAAAGUUAACCACGCUGUUGUCAUUAGUGUUAGCCUAAAGCUAACCACGCUGUUGUUGUUAGCCUACAGCUAACCAUGCUCUAAACUUGCUCAGUCUGUAGCAGAUGUUUAUAUUGUUCACAUUCAUUGUUGAUAUAAUGCAGCACAUCUGUAAGCUACAGCAGUGCUUUCUGGCUGUUUCCACGGCGACUGAUGCCAACCUCCUUCUCAGAGCAUCAGGACAAACGACCGGUGCUUCAGGGUUUUCAGGUCGGGUGAGGACACGUUGCUCAGAACGUCGUCGAUGAACGUACGUUCAGUCAAUGAGUUCAGCUGGUGACUCAGCGGUUGUUGUGUCUGUUCCACCUAAAGGCAGCAAAGUUUUGCUCACGUUGUGUAAGGGGCUCUAAAUGACACUUAUACUUAUUGAUUUGCGUCUCAAGCUGCGUCACAACAUUCUGCUGUUUGCUUUUUUAUGGUUCUCUGGUAAAAUGAACAGAGAGAGAACGUUGUUCUGCUUAAGUAAAUAGUGCGGCGCUGGAGGACGCUGAGCAGGGACACCUGUAAACCAGGUGUGCUCUCUGCAGCACAAGGCUGAGUCACAGAGAUGUGCCUGUUCUCAGUCCCGCUGUGGGUCCAAAGGAUUCAGGCUCAUCCCCUCGGGCGGAUCGGGUGCAGCUCUGCAACGUGAGGCUCGGCUCGGCUCGGCUCGGCUCGGCUCGUUGCCUCACGGCCAAAGUUCAGCCUGUGCAGCAGGGCAGCAGAGAAGCCGGAAGUGACUGUAAGUCAGGCCGACAGUGAUGGUGGCUUUGUUCCGUGGCUUUUUGUUGUUUUGACACAGAUUUGACACAACACCGUGUCUAAAGAUAGAAAUACUGAGUGUUUCUGGAGCAACUGCAGAGACCAGAGCCUCCUCACACGGUUCUGGAACAGGGAUCCGUGUGGACCCAGCGGAACCAGGCUGCUGCUGCCCAUGCUGAGGCCGUACAGGGAGGAUCCAGAAACACAAACAGGGUGGAGGAGGUCCGCCUGGUCGGUGAGGCGCACACUCUGCUAUUGUUGGGUGUAUGAGGUGUGUUUGCUAUUUUGUGAACAUGUGCUGGGAGGAGCCGGCUUAACUACGGGUCCUCCAACCUGUUAUUAGUCCUGCACGGUAAUUACUGCAUUCAUGACCACUAAAUAAUAUGUAUUCAAACUCCUUUUAGGCACCUUUCAAUAGGUGAUGUUUGCAGAUAUUAUAAGGUACUUGAACGUGAUGACAGCUUUAUUAUCUGCUCGUGUUAUUCCAGUAGAAUAAACAAACUAACAGUGGAACAGCCUGGUCUCCGUAGGGAGGAAUGCCGCGCAAGUUAAAACAAAGCUGCUAUUGCUGUGAAUCACAUCAUCUAUUAAUGGGGCGUUUGGAUUUUUAUUGGACGGACGCUGGUUUCGCCUCUGGUUCAGCUCUUACGGAGUGGGAGCAGCCGUGGGUCAGGAGGCGGAGAGGUCCAUGCUGGAACCCGUCCUGGAGCUGGACCACGGUUCUCUGCAGCUCAGAGCCUUAGAACGCAGGGAAGUGGCAGCGCUGGCUGUUUGCUGGGUGUGAGUUGAGACUCCAGCCGAGUGGCAGCAACGACAACCACACCUUCGCCCUUGCACAACUUCCCUGUUCCUUUGGUCCACACACUCUGGGCAAACACACCCAAAGGCUUAAGUGAUGCCCUGCACUAAUGGCCUAAAUUACACAGCUGGCUUUGAGGGCAGAGCGGCUCGUCAACAAGUGAAGCCGUGGCCCUUCACCCACAGUGACACUCAGCUGACUCAGCAGCACACUGUUUACUGGGCCUGUCCACCGCAUCCACACGCCUGCGUCGGCCGCCUCGUCCUCCCCCGCUGUCCCUCCUCAUCCACAUCAGCGGCCGGCCUCCAGGCCGAUCAUCGUCGAGGUCCGACCCGAGCACGAGCCACACGCACAGGCUGCUUCUCUGUGGGAACACACUGAUUAGAGUCAGGAGGACCCGCGUCAACGUGAAGCAGCUUCCACGUUCAGCUCGUUCCAUCGUGUUUGUCCAAGCAGUGGUUUCACCACUUUCAGGUUGAUUCUGUUUCAGUUUAAUUCACUUUCAGUUUUAGUCAUUUUUCUUUAGAACCAGUUUGGCUUGAAAAAGAAUUAGGGUGAAUCUUAGCGUGUGUAAAUCAGGGUCAACCCAUUCACUGGAUGGUCAGUAGGGAAGCAGAAGGUCCCAGGUUCAAGUCUGUGUCCUUGAGCAAGACACUUCACAGUAGCUGCUGCUCCCCCAGGGGAUGAACUGAAUGCAGAGGUCAAUUGCCCCCCGCAUGUUUAGCUUGGAUUGGAUCCAGAUUGCUUCUGUCCACUUCUCAUAUAGUGAGCGGUGAUGUUUUCUCCUGAGACUGAGGGGUACCUAAUAAAGUGACCAGCAGCCUUUGGCAGCGUCAGCACCGACUCGCUGAGGCUGAUGCCUCCAGACAGACGGCGUAAAGGUGCUGACCACACACGUUGUCUCUUUUCCUGAGCAUCCGUCAUCCAGUGCACUGGCGCUGAACCUGUCACGGCUCUGAUCUGUGUUUAGUGGGUGAGGAGCGGGUCGGACCCGGAGCACAUCCAGGCCUGUUUGAAGUGACUGUCAGUAGCUGAAGGUACGUCGCGGUUACACAAAGCACAAACCCAGCACCUGCGCUUCAGAGGGAUAAUUACAGGGGACGGUUGAUGUGGGAUUAGAGCCCUGCUGCAGCGAUAACUGUCACGACCUUUCACCUCAUGCUCCGCAUAAUUAGAUUGAUCGGCCGGAGCAUCCAAAGGCCUACAGCGUCCUGUGUCCUCCUCCAGUCAGAUUGACUGGCGGGGACUUUGGAGGUUCUCUGUCUCUGACUUGAAGCUGCUGGGCCUGAUGCAGAAUGCUUUGGAACCUCCCAGCGAGGUUUGUGUAUUUCCUGCUCGUGGUAUCAAACAAUCAGAUUUAUGCAGUGGUUAAAAGGAAAAUAAAAGGUUUCACAAGCUAGAGAGGUUUCAACAGAGGUUCCUGGAAAAAAACAAGACGAUGACAGAUGGUAAUAGAUGAUGACGCUGGUGAACUGGCUCAACUUGUUAGAGGAUGAAACUUCACACACUUUUCCAGGUAUUUUACUCUGGUACGGCCUGAUUGUGAAACCCGCUCUGUUGCGUGUGUUAGUCCAGAACAGUGAUUCCUGCUGCAGCUUCCAGGCUCCACAACAGGCCGCUCAUCAAUCCCUCAGCGGACAAUGGAGCCCUGUAGGAAAGCCAAAACAAGCCUCUAAUCCCCUUUAGAUUAACAGGGAAUUCACUUGGCAGCGGCUAAGUCAGCUGCUAGAGCAGCGUCCGUCACCCACCGCUAACAAACGUUCAAACGGCGGCUGCUGUAAUUAGAGCAGGAUGAAACGAUCCCACAGACAAACAUUAACCCCGGCCGUGACCCCACAGCUUGUCAAGAAGACGAACGCCUGGGACCGGGAGAGAAAAACAGCCUUUCAUUUCCAGUAAAGCAGGAAGGGGGAGGGAAGGGGAUUUUGGGAAGUUUGGUGAGUCAUCACUUUCUUUUCUAGCGGCGCUCCCCCUCCUGGCAUCGCAGCUCCGGGCCUGAAUACCACCCGGCUCAGGGCCCGGUGUGCUUUCAAUGGGCCGGCUGACUGUGAGGGCAUCAUACUGACUGUGAGGGCCUCAGGCUGACUGUGAGGGCAUCAUACUGACUGUGAGGGCCUCAGGCUGACUGUGAGGGCCUCAUACUGACUGUGAGGGCCUCAGGCUGACUGUGAGGGCCUCAUACUGACUGUGAGGGCAUCAUAGUGACUGUGAGGGCCUCAUACUGACUGUGAGGGCCUCAUACUGACUGUGAGGGCCUCAUACUGACUGUGAGGGCCUCAUACUGACUGUGAGGGCCUCAGGCUGACUGUGAGGGCCUCAUACUGACUGUGAGGGCCUCAGGCUGACUGUGAGGGCCUCAGGCUGACUGUGAGGGCCUCAUACUGACUGUGAGGGCCUCAGGCUGACUGUGAGGGCAUCAUAGUGACUGUGAGGGCCUCAUACUGACUGUGAGGGCCUCAUACUGACUGUGAGGGCCUCAUACUGACUGUGAGGGCCUCAGGCUGACUGUGAGGGCCUCAUACUGACUGUGAGGGCCUCAUACUGACUGUGAGGGCCUCAUACUGACUGUGAGGGCCUCAGGCUGACUGUGAGGGCCUCAUACUGACUGUGAGGGCCUCAGGCUGACUGUGAGGGCAUCAUAGUGACUGUGAGGGCCUCAUACUGACUGUGAGGGCCUCAUACUGAC